CGCCAGCCCGCUCAGAAACUCAAUGAAUUGACGGGGCCCGCACAAGCGGUGGAGUAUGUGGUUUAAUUCGAUGCAACGCGAAGAACCUUACCUGGUCUUGACAUCCCGGAGACCCUUAGGAACUAGGGGUGCUUCCAUCUGGAAGAAUCUGGAGACAGGUGCUGCAUGGCUGUCGUCAGCUCGUGUCGUGAGAUGUUGGGUUAAGUCCCGCAACGAGCGCAACCCUUGCCUUUAGUUGCCAGCAGUUCGGCUGGGCACUCUAAAGGGACUGCCGGUGUUAAACCGGAGGAAGGUGGGGAUGACGUCAAGUCCUCAUGGCCUUUAUGACCAGGGCUACACACGUACUACAAUGGCCGAUACAAAGGGCAGCGACACUGCGAGGUGAAGCCAAUCCCGUAAAAUCGGUCUCAGUCCGGAUUGGAGUCUGCAACUCGACUCCAUGAAGUUGGAAUCGCUAGUAAUCGUGGAUCAGCAUGCCACGGUGAAUACGUUCCCGGGCCUU
rnacentral:rRNA from 1 species